AUACACUUGACAACUUUAAGAAAUGCCGUAACACAGAACAAGGACAUUCCACAUGCCCUAUUUCUGGUGGAAGAUAAUUAAAAAGGAACACAAAAUAAUCACCAGAUUUAUUUAGCCAUUUAAAGAAGUGAAAUGAAAGCAUAUCAACAGUGAAAGCAUUCAAUCUAAUGCCAUCUGAUAUUGUAAAAGACUUUUAACAAUUUAUACCCGGUACAUGUUCAGCCUUAUUUUCUUUGAGGAACACUUUUCUGUUUUCUCAGAGUUGAUCCCACCCUUUAAAACCAGGGAUAAGAGGAUGACCCCAACCUGGCCAAUAAAGGACUAAACUCUAGCCACAAAGAUUAUUUUACUGAUAAGCAUGUGGCCUACACUAGAUCAGUAAGAGCUCUUUUUAGUUUGGCUAGGAUGAUUUGGUAAAAAGAAGUUGGUGGCUGAAAGACAUACACACCAGAGUUUCUGAAUGUGAUUGUCUUUGGUACUAACUUUGCAUAGGAAAAGUAUGUCUGAAAAUGUAGCAAACAUAAAGGAAGAAUAUAGAGCUAAGGGCUAAAAAGGGUCAAAUAUCUGAUGAUAAUGAUCAAACCUUGGAUUGAGUCAUAACUGAAGCUACUUCAUCCCAACACGUUCCAAAUUAUGCUAGCUAAUAAAUUCUGUUUGGCAUUUUGGAAUUGAGUUUCUGUCAUCUGCAGCAAAACAAUCAUCAUAAAUAUAUGAAUACAGAAUUUUAAAGCCAGAUCAACAUUUUCUCUGCUUAUUUAUUUAUAAUCAAGCAUAAAUGACCAUUAAAUUACAUGAGGAUUAGAUUGUGCCCAAAGUACUUGAAAAAAUAUCCUAUGUAAAUUUGAAGAUGAAGAUUAAAGAAUAGUGCUAUAGGGUAUAAACAGACUAGUGGUAAAAAUUAAAAUGUAAUAUAGCUCUAUUUAGUUUCACAUCUAGGCCCAUAAAAUUCAACUUUAACCUUAUGCAAAUGACAUAGAAAAUAUUAAAGUAAGAAUUAAAAUCAUGUCAACUGUGUAAGAUAGCAAAAAUAAGCAAUUUUUUCAUUUAAUCUUUAUUAUAAAAUUAUUAAUCUUUUUAAGAAAGGAUUAAGAAGAGACAUGAACAAAUUAUAACACACUGCUAAGGAAAAUGCUAAUUACAGAAGUGCCUCCUAUAUAGUUAGAGUGAAGAGAUUAAAGGGAUUACUUUAGAAAUUUUUACUAUUAAAUAAUACCUAAUUAAAAACUUUCCUACAUAGAAACUUCAGGCCUCGAUAGCUUCAUUAGGAAAAGGAAAUGUCAACACAUGCUCAAUUUUUAUGGCUUUCUGCCUAAGGGCAGGUCUCAGGCACAGUGGUGGGCACCCAGAACUCAGAUAAAAUGCCACAAUCCACUGGCUUAAUAAAUCAGAGGACCAAGUUUUGGGAAACCACAUGAGCUGGAAAGUGAAUCUUUAAAUCUCAGAAAAGAGAGAGCCACAGAAGGGAAAGCCCAAAUUUUGCAUAUAGUCUCUGUACAAAUUUCUGGUUGAUUCUGGAGUUACAUGUACUAUACAUGUGCAGUGCAGACUAUCAGUAGGAAAGCUAAGGCUACAAGAAGUGAUGAGAUUACACCUUCAGCCUACCACAGGGAAAACACGGCUUGAAAUUGGAGUUUAACCAAGUUCACUGCCUUCUUUUUUUUUAAUUUUUUUUCAACGUUUUUUAUUUAUUUUUGGGACAGAGAGAGACAGAGCAUGAACGGGGGAGGGGCAGAGAGAGAGGGAGACACAGAAUCGGAAACAGGCUCCAGGCUCCGAGCCAUCAGCCCAGAGCCCGACGCGGGGCUCGAACUCACAGACCGCGAGAUCGUGACCUGGCUGAAGUCGGACGCUUAACUGACUGCGCCACCCAGGCGCCCCGUUCACUGCCUUCUUAUAGCAAAAAAGCCAAACCUAUUUAAGGCAAGACAGAAAUUUCAGUGGAGAAAUAAAAACUACUGGAAAACAGAACCAAAUGGAAAUUCUAAAACCGAAACCAGAUAAUAGCUGGACCAAAAGAAUUCACUUAACAGAAGAUUGGAUAUGAUUGAAAAAAAAUAAGUAAAUUCACAGACAGAUGGUUAUUUUCUACUAUCAUAAGUUACCUGAUGGAUAAUAUACCAAAGGUAACUUCUCCCAAGGCACUUAGCUAAUAUAAACAGCUGAGCCAACCAGGGAGGAGCCCCGGGCAUUGAAUUUACCUACACCAAGCCACCGCCCCUCCCAGGAGAAGCACAUCUGGCCUGACAUUCUUUCACAAAUUAUCACAAUAACAUUGUUUAGUAAAGCACCUAGGAGUAUUAGAAGAGACACUACACUGCAAGUCAAGAGAUCCAGAAUCAUCUUUGCCUGUUUUUUGCUACUAUGAAAAUUCAAUUGUGGAACUAAACAUCAAAUGGACCCAUAAAGGGCUAAAGUAGAGUUGAAGCUGCACCAGCAUUCUCCUCGAAACUAGAACAAGCAAUCCUAAAAUUCAUAUGGAACUACAAAAGGCCCCCAAUAGCCAAAGUAAUUUUGAAGAAGAAGACCAAAGCAGGAGGCAUCACAAUCCCAGACUUUAGCCUCUACU